UACGAAGGGGGCUAGCGUUGUUCGGAAUUACUGGGCGUAAAGCGUGCGCAGGCGGUUUUGUAAGACUGUCGUGAAAUCCCCGGGCUCAACCUGGGAACUGCAUCUGUGACUGCAUUGCUGGAGUGCGGCAGAGGGGGAUGGAAUUCCGCGUGUAGCAGUGAAAUGCGUAGAUAUGCGGAGGAACACCGAUGGCGAAGGCAAUCCCCUGGGCCUGCACUGACGCUCAUGCACGAAAGCGUGGGGAGCAAACAGG
rnacentral:rRNA from 1 species